GACGAACGCUGGCGGCGUGCUUAACACAUGCAAGUCGAACGGAAAGGCCCUGCUUUUGUGGGGUGCUCGAGUGGCGAACGGGUGAGUAACACGUGAGUAACUUGCCCUUGACUUUGGGAUAACUUCAGGAAACUGGGGCUAAUACCGGAUAGGAGCUCCUGCUGCAUGGUGGGGGUUGGAAAGUUUCGGCGGUUGGGGAUGGACUCGCGGCUUAUCAGCUUGUUGGGGGGGUAGUGGCGUACCAAGGCUUUGACGGGUAGCCGGCCUGAGAGGGUGACCGGCCACAUUGGGACUGAGAUACGGCCCAGACUCCUACGGGAGGCAGCAGUGGGGAAUAUUGCACAAUGGGCGGAAGCCUGAUGCAGCAACGCCGCGUGCGGGAUGACGGCCUUCGGGUUGUAAACCGCUUUCGCCUGUGACGAAGCGUGAGUGACGGUAAUGGGUAAAGAAGCACCGGCUAACUACGUG
rnacentral:rRNA from 1 species